rnacentral:tRNA from 1 species
GCCUUCGUGGUGUAGUGGUCAGGACACUCGACGCAUAUUCGAGAGGUCUGUGGUUCGAGUCCCGGCGAGGGUA